CGUGAUGGGCUUCCUCCUCUCCCUGGUCUUAAAGAACUGCUCUGCUCUCUCCCUUUCUUCUUCAUGCUUCUUCGGAUGAGAGCCCAAGUUUCAAUCCUUCUGUUGGAUUUGCAAUCCGAGACCAUGGCUUCCGAGAACCAGAGCUAGGAGAUCAGGAUAAUUUAGAAACAGCGAGAAAAAAAUGCCAACAAAUGUGGAGAUUCUUGUAGAGAACAUGAGGAUCAUAUGAUGGAUCACAUCUUAAAACAGCUACUAGGUCUUCAAAUUGCCAUUGAAUGCUGUCAAUGUCGCACUGCGGUUCUCCAUGUUGGGCAACCGUUUUCUUUCCAUCUUAUUUGGGUGACCAUGGCAGGAGUCAUUUCCACAAAGAUGCUCAUUUUCCAGACAAGCUUGUGCCGUGAUUAUUUUUGUUAUCCGUAUGAUUUUAUCGACAACCCUUGAGCCAUCAGUCGGGAAUAAUUCGAGGGUAAUUCUUGUUGACAGAGAUGCUGCUUUGAUUGUCUCCUCCGUUUUAGUUUGGGUGGUGGAUUUCUUGUAACGUAGAUGAUACAUAGAGGAAGCAGAUGAUUCUGAGUGAGUAAAAACUCGCUGAGUUUUGGAAAAAAAUUGCGUAUUUCGCUCCUUGGAUCUGAAGUACUGUAUGUAAUGUAAAAUUUGAGGGAAACCAAUGUGAUUGUUUGAUGAGCGAAAUUCUCAGAGGAAGCUGUGAAUGAAUGAAGUGACAAUUCGCGGUGAAGUUUUUUUUUCUGGAGUAAAAACCUUGAUUAGAAAUUACCUUCCUUAUCAGGUAGAGCACGCGUAUUUUUCAGUCCAUGAUUUCUCUAAUUGUCCUUCAUGUGUCUCUUCGCUGGCCAUCUUGUGAAUACGAAAUUUGAAUGAAUCCAAGAACAAAUAGGUUUAGAGGGAGAGUCUCACCUUCCCUGGUGACCUUGUGCUGCUUCUCUGGAAAUUUGCCCGUGACAAUCUCAGCCCGUUUCCUCUUCGAACUCGAACUGGCAGGCUUUGAACAACCUCGGCAGUGUGUAUGCGGACUUCGGGAGGCUGGACCUGGCGGCGGACUGCUAUAUGAGCGCUCUCCAAAUUCGGCACACCCGAGCACACCAGGGCCUCGCUCGCGUUCACUUCCUCAAGGACGACAGUGACGCCGCCUACAAAGAAAUGACGAAAUUGAUAGAGAAGGCUAAGAACAACGCCUCGGCGUACGAGAAGCGAUCAGAGUACUGCCGCCAUGAACUCACGGCCGCAGAUCUUGAGACGGCAACUCAGCUGGAUCCACUGCGGGUUUAUCCUUACCGGUACCGCGCGGCAGGUCGUCUCCCUCCCCUCAUCUUUUGAAUCCAUCCAUCCUCCGGUUGGUUGACCUAUCCUGGAUCUGACAAAAACGAGGGGUUUCCUCCGAUCUGCGACACGGGAACGGAACAGUGUUGAUGGACGCCCGCAAGGAGAAGGAGGCCAUUGCAGAACUGACCAGGGCGAUCGUCUUCAAGGUGGAUCUCCAUCUUCUUCACCUCCGCGCCGCCUUCAACCAGCACAUCGGUGACAUCACCGGCGC
rnacentral:lncRNA from 1 species